GUUUUUCUCCCGGUGCAGGAAAACAUGAAGAACGGGGAAAGUAGCUGCCGCAUGCCAAUGUGAAACUCCGAGGAGUCUAGCCAUUCUGAUCUGGCCUUCCAGGUCAUUAGGAGGCUCUGCCAUCGUGUGAGGAGGGAAAGCCUGCUGUCUGGAGAGCACACUGGUCUCCAGCGUGGGGAGAGAGAGCACUUUCGGGCUUUGCUGAGGAGGGUCUUCAGAAAAAAGAGUACUGCCAACAAGAAGGCCCAAUCAAGAUCCUCCCACAACAAGAGCAGAUUGUGAGCGUGGCAAGCUCUAUGCUGAGCACUGGAAGGACAAAGAGAGAUUGGGCACAGACUUCUCACUGAUCCAGGUGAUGAAGAGCUCACAUCUGAGAGGAUGUGACCAUGGAUGACCCACCAGAAUGUCAUGGGAUCCAGCUACAGCCAAGGAAGCACAGAGCACCGUGGGAGCGAUUUAUUGUGCUUGGGGAUGGGGAAGGGGACAUGGGAGGAGCCAUAUUGAGAAAGUAGCAUGGGUACUUGGCUUCACAGAGUGUGGCAGCUUUCAUCAGGAAGUGAUGGUGGGGGAACAGCGUCUCUGGCGGAGGGAAGCAGCAGGUGCAGAGGUGCAGAGGUGUGAGGAGUCUGUCACAUUCUGGGAAGGGAGUAUGGUUGGGUGACAAUGCAAGACAGAGAAAGCAAGGAGGGAAGGAGGGGCCUAGCCUGAGGAAUAAAGAAUAAUAAAAGCAGGAAAACAAUU
rnacentral:lncRNA from 1 species